UUGCCGUCAUUGUGGAGUCAGAGUUGAUCACUGGAAGCUCUGCUUUAUAAAGAAUUCAGAGCACAAGAGCAAGCACAUGCUUUUGGGACACACUUUGUCAAAUGCUUGGGACAUCAAGGAACACAGCGGAGCUGUUUCUAUUCCAACACCGUCAAAAGCCUGUGUAAAAAUAUUCUUUCGAAUAAUUACCAGUAGACUGGUCGAUAAGAAUUAACCAGAUAUUCAGGUUUUCCGGGUUUAAGAAUUAAAAUAACCUCAGCAYAUUUCCAGUGUGAUGAGAAAUGACAAAAUAUGAGUAUUCCGUUAAAAAGCCUGACAAUCAUGUUCAUUACUUUUUCGGGUGGCGCCCAUCUAUUUCAGCAAUGGGAAUUUUCGUUUGAUAAACAGCAUCCAAAAAAAUUGCCGACUGUCGCAUUGCUAGAUACGUCACCAAACUUUUUAGGAGUAAACGUGUCUUUUAGGUGACAAACACCUCGGCUUUCUCUGCAUAGGUUCUGCACCAAAGGCCUCUACUGUUUAAAAUUGUUGGACAUCUAGAUAUCSGCUUAUUGUGUUGCCUAGUCGAAUUCCAAAGACUGCUUACUGGAUCUUCUGGUCUGGCAGCAACCAGAAACGUCUCUAGGGACUUGUAGCGAAAUUUCCACAGAACAUGCUUCAGCUCCUUUAUGGCACGAUUGAGAAGUGUUUUGUUAUUAGGAUUACUACUGACUUUCCAUGCAUGCCGAGAGCACAAGAGGUCGGCUUUUGAAACGAGCAAAUUCAUAGAAAUUACUAUUUUUUUUCACCAUGACUCAAAUCAGCAGCCCUUCUAUCAAACAUAUGUACACAUACUAGACUACAAAAAGUCUGCGUACAAGGUACCCAAAAAAACCAGAACUCAACCAACAAGACUAGUUGAAUCGACCAACGGCUUUAUUUUAAUCACUUCGGYUUUAAAGCCUUUCAAGACGUGGGGUAUCCUCAAGAUCAAAAUUGCCGAAUCCAAAUUUGGCGAACCAAUUUUUGCAUUGACAUUYAUUCAAGACAUUUUAUCCAUACACAUCACCACAUUGUUUUCAAUCUACCAUUUCGAUAGAGCACCAAAUGCAAACUGUUUCAAAAAAU